rnacentral:rRNA from 1 species
GACGAACGCUGGCGGCGUGCUUAACACAUGCAAGUCGAACGGAAAGGCCCUGCUUUUGUGGGGUGCUCGAGUGGCGAACGGGUGAGUAACACGUGAGUAACCUGCCCUUGACUUUGGGAUAACUUCAGGAAACUGGGGCUAAUACCGGAUAGGAGCUCCUGCUGCAUGGUGGGGGUUGGAAAGUUUCGGCGGUUGGGGAUGGACUCGCGGCUUAUCAGCUUGUUGGUUGGGUAGUGGCUUACCAAGGCUUUGGCGGGUAGCCGGCCUGAGCGGGUGACCGGCCACAUUGGGACUGAGAUACGGCCCAGACUCCUACGGGAGGCAGCAGUGGGGAAUAUUGCACAAUGGGCGGAAGCCUGAUGCAGCAACGCCGCGUGCGGGAUGACGGCCUUCGGGUUGUAAACCGCUUUCGCCUGUGACGAAGCGUGAGUGACGGUAAUGGGUAAAGAAGCACCGGCUAACUACGUG